rfam:Ictidomys tridecemlineatus contig044498, whole genome shotgun sequence.
GUGGCUGUGGCUUAGUGGUAGAGCACUUGCCUACCACGUAUGAGGCACUGGAUUCGAUUCUCAGCAGUGCAUA